rnacentral:lncRNA from 1 species
UGAUCUCCUCAACACUUUUAAAUUUGCACAAGAUGACGAUGCUUCUGUAACUCCCUUUCUAAAGGGAAUAUGGGCUUGAAAUCAAAUCUAAUGUAAAUAAAUAAAUAGCAAUAGUAUAGCCUGCGAGUAGGUCUUUUGGAAAUUACUAUGUACAAACAGCUGUUUCUAUCAAAGACAUCUGGGAUAUUAUAUUAAGACUAACGUUAGACCAGACUUAGUAUGUUAUGAAUAGAAUCUAGGAAAAUCUAAGUAAGUGGUCACCAUAUGAUGGUAAUCUUCCCAUGUUACAUAAAUAUUAUUGUGU